AUUGAACGCUGGCGGCAUGCUUUACACAUGCAAGUCGAGCGGCAGCGCGGGGGCAACCCUGGCGGCGAGCGGCGAACGGGGGAGUAAUGCAUCGGAACGUAUCCUCUUGUGGGGGAUAACCCACCGAAAGGUGGGCUAAUACCGCAUAAGCUCUGAGGAGGAAAGCGGGGGGACCGAAAGGCCUCGCGCAGGAGGAGCGGCCGAUGUCCGAUUAGCUAGUUGGUGGGGUAAAGGCCCACCAAGGCGACGAUCGGUAGCUGGUCUGAGAGGAGUGAUCAGCCACACUGGGACUGAGACACGGCCCAGACUCCUACGGGAGGCAGCAGUGGGGAAUUUGGUACAAUGGGGGCGAACCCUGAUCCAGCCAUGCCGCGUGAGUGAAGAAGGGCCUUCGGGUUGGU
rnacentral:rRNA from 1 species